UACGAAGGGGGCUAGCGUUGCUCGGAAUCACUGGGCGUAAAGGGUGCGUAGGCGGGUCUUUAAGUCAGGGGUGAAAUCCUGGAGCUCAACUCCAGAACUGCCUUUGAUACUGAAGAUCUUGAGUUCGGGAGAGGUGAGUGGAACUGCGAGUGUAGAGGUGAAAUUCGUAGAUAUUCGCAAGAACACCAGUGGCGAAGGCGGCUACCGUGGCUAAUACUGACACUGAGGCACGAAGCGUGG
rnacentral:rRNA from 1 species